rnacentral:lncRNA from 1 species
AGGACAAUCCUGUUCAAGUUGUAUGUCUUUGGACCUUAUUACAUUUCCUUUGUAGUCUGCCCAUCCGUCCUUGAGGAUUUGCCUCCUCUGGUUUCGGUUGCGUCUCCUUCUCAGAGGGGAAGUGCAUGUGGACUUCUCCGGUUCCAAUAUAGAUGAUGGCUUUGAUAGUGUUGAGGAACGGUCUUCCAAGGAUGGUGGGUGGAUCAUACUCGUCUUCUCCCAUGUCAAUGGCCUGAAAAUCAUCUGGAGCUGAAUGUAUAUUGGUUGUAGGGGCAUGGUUCCAUGCUGAAGCUGAUAAGUGACUGCGGCCAUUAUGUUGACGUCAGAUCUAGUGUCGUAGAGUGUCUUCUGGAAAGAGUAUCCUUUGAUUGUGCACUCGAUGCUUGGAACACCAGGGUCGUCCUUCUUGAUCAGG